UGUUUUCUUUAGAAUAAACUGCAACAUUUACUCAAUCACUGGAAUUUUGUGAUUUUCCAGAAUCCUUUUAUGGUAAAAUAAAUUUUCAUCUGCAACUGGUAUCACUUCUGUUAUAUAUUUUUUUGCAAAUAACCAGAAUAAAUGACCACCUGUUGAGGCUGAGGUACCAAUAAUUUCUAGAUUGCUUGUUUCCAUUGCUCAACGUCUGUGGAAUCUCUCCCCAUAUUUGCUGAAUUUUGUGAAGCUGGUUUUUGACAUGUAAUAAAAUUAUAGCUGCUUUUUUAACUUCCCACUAAUGUCUGGUUAAGGAGGAGCCACAGCAAAUAUAUUUGAGUUAUUAUAAAAAAAUUGUCUUUCACAGUUAAAGAAAGGUACAAGAUGUAAGAGUGAAGUAAGAAUGACAUUCUUUAGUUCCUGCUGUCAAUUUUUAUAAGCAAAAAAUAACUUCCUCACUACCAUCCCAUGAGUUUCAUGGCUGUUUCCACUGCUAGUUUUGAAUGAGCCCCCAAAUAGUCCCAAAAUAAGUAGACAAAUACAUAGUUGUAUCUGGUGUUAGUACUCUUGGGUGUUUUACGGUAGGGAGCACCUACUACACUUAUUUCAGUAGUAAUUCUCUGGCAUUCUCUGGCCAGACGCCAUCGAAUGUGAGCAUUUGCCCACUCAAGUCUGUUACAGCGACAAGCUGGAGUCAGGUCAAGACCCCGAUGAGGACGAUGAGCAUGGAGCUGUCUGAGUGGCUGGUCUCAGACGAUCUUGGAGGUGAACCUGCUGGAUGUGGAGGUCCUGGGCUGGUGUAGUUACACGUCAUCUGCGGUUGUAAGGCCGGUUGGAUGUACUGUCAUGUUCUCUGAAACACCUUUGGAGACAGCUUAUGGUGGAGAAAUGAACAUUCAACGCACGAGCAACAGAUCUAGUUGACAUUCCUGCUGUCAGCAUGCCAAUUGCACGCUCCCUCAAUGCUUGUGGCAUCUGUGGCAUUUUGCUGUGAGACAAAACUGCACAUUCCAGGGUGGCCUUUUAUUGUGGGCAGUAUAAGGUACACCUGCGCACUACUAAUAAUGUUGGAUCAGCAUCUUGAUAUGGCACACCUGUGAGGUGGGAUGGAUUAUCUCAGCAAAGCAGAAGUGCUCACUAUCACACAUUUAGACUGAUUUGUGAACAAUGUUUGAGAGAAAUGGCAAUAUUGUGUAUCUGGAAUGAAUUUUAGAUCUUUAAGUCCAUCUUAUGAAAAAUUGGAGCAGAAACAAAGGUGUUGCGUUUAUAUUUUUGUUGAGUGUAUUUACAAGACAGAACCUUUUUGGUGUGUUUAGAGAACUGUGAAUCCUUUUUUCUGCCUCUGUCCUCUGUUCUGUGUCAUAAAACCAUAAAAGAAUAAAAUAAUCGAAAGUGUGUUGACAGAGAAAGACAUUCCAGGGGCUUUUCUUGAUGGCGACCCUGCUGGUUAUUGAUUGUCAGAACUGAAGCACUGCCUCGAAUGUUAUGAUCAAAGUUUAAAUGUGACACUACACGAGGCUAUUGAAUAAGUGCACAUAUGUAUUACAAUGAAAAUACAGGUUUAUCCUGGAAUAAAUAGUGGCAAAUGACACGGACUGAAAAAGAAUGGUUUUGCUAGCCAAAUAACACCUGCUACAGCCGGUACCAUGACUGCUACACCCGGUACCAUGACAACACAUGGCAGCGGCUGGACCACAUUCCCAUCUGUACAAGUACCAGCAAUGUUUACCUAUGUACAUGUUUAACACUACUUGAUUGAAUCAUUCAUUCAGUUUGCGCAUGAGGAAAACUGUGUCAGCAGCAAUGAGGACUCAGACAGAAACUGUGGAUAAAAAAAUACUAUUAAGCCACAUCCUGGCCAGGCCAUAACAUGAAGAUGGGCCCAUUUUCUGCAGAUCUCAAGCAACUUUUUUUCUAUUUACAUUGAUUUAUUCAUAACAAUUACAAUUUACAAGGGUUUUAACUAAGCACAAAUUAAGAUAAAAACUUGACAAGUUUCUGCCCCCAGUGGCGGAAUAUUUGUAUCUAUGCGUCUUAUUUACGAGUGAAGGGAAAAUGGAGUGCAACUCCCAUAGGUGGCUAACACGAUGUAAACGCGGAGCUGCCACUGACUGGAGCGAGCAGGUUGAGAGUGGAUUGCAGUCUCCUGUUAAAAUCAUUGACAAUAAGAUCACAAGAUGCAGGUACCAGAAUAGGAGAGAUCUUUCUAAAAUCUUCUAGAAGACUAGCAGCCACUUCACAGGGGGAGAUAACACUUCCUUACAGCUCUCACAGAGGUCUCCCGCUAGAUAAACUGGUGAUGCUAAAAAACACACCAUAGUGGUCAGAGAAGGCCAAAAACUCAGAAAACUCUUGAUUUAAAAGUGCACCCUGUUUAGGAGGCCUAUAAACUGUGACACAUAAAAUCUGACGAGUGCUAAAAACUGUUGCUGUAUAUUCAAAGGAGUUAAAAUGAUCAAAUAAAGCAUGUUUGGCGGAAAGUGUUGAUGAACUUAUAAAAGCAGUACCGCCUCCCGUUUUGCUACUCCUCAUUGAAUAAUUUAAAGUAAAAUCUGGCAGAGAGGCCUCUGUGAGAACAACAGGUGCAUCUGCACUCAUCCACGUUUCUGUUAAAAGAAAACAAUGAUGUUAUGGUCUAAAAUUAGGUAAUUUAAUGAAAAAGUUUUGUUCAGCAGAGAGCGAACCUUUAGAAGAGCCAUAUUAACAGUUAUUGGUGAUGGAGUGCCUUUAUUUCUUAAUGAGAGUGGGACUUUUGGUAACAGUUUGAACCACGUGCGAACGCGGAGUUACGGUCUUAGGACAUUUAUAAUCUCUUGACAACUCACCUAUACCACACACACCUGCGACUUUGUCGCAUAGAAAAGGGCUACCUGGACACAAGAAGUGAAGGCCAUGAGUGAGAGAACACACUCGCAGAUCCUGAACCAGACGAAUGUCUGGCGUGCCAUCAUGCAAUGUGACCACAGCGCCGUAUGCAACUUGACGUGAGUGUUGUCUACCCAGUUACCCACAUUGACCACGUCCUUCAGUCUGUAGAUGUCCCCUGGGGAAACGAUAGGUAAGUCGAUGAUGAACGCUAGAUCCCUAGCAGCGGGAUCGGCCCGUAACAGGGUAGCACUCCCGAACGAGAAAGCCAAGUGAGUCUGAAGGGCAGUCACAUCACCCUUUGAAGCUCUAGUAAGCGCAGUCCGGACCAUGUCCAAGGACACGAGGUACGGAGGGAUCCUCCCUGUGAGGAGGGCGUCAAUAGAGGUGCUCACGUCCCAAAUGUAGUUGGACAGGCAAGUGGUCAGUAUCUGAGUGUGUGCAUAAUCAACUCUAACGAAGGAACGCAGUUCGUUCACAACGGAGGUUGUUUUAUGCAGAAUGUUGCCAUGUGUGUUGAGUACUACCAUAGUAUGGUGUUUGGAUGCACCCAGUUGUUUUAACGCGUGCCGUUGGUGAAGCACUUGUUUACGCAGGGAUGAGAAUUCCCUGUUGAGUUCAUCAACAUGUUGUUGCACUGUGUUGAUCUUGACCGGGUUGACUGAUGAGAACCCUAAUUUAAAAAGUGAGCCAGUUGUAUUAGCAAACGAGAGAAAAUCCAACAGGAAAAACUUCACUCUAACAUGGAUACCAGAAAGAUCAUUAUUGGAAACCGUGAAUUUCUGUGCCUGGAGUAGUAUGUGAGAGACGUCUGCUUCAGUGUGCCAUGUCAUCGUACAAGUCCAGGUAGCCCCAGUUUCCUAGAGGGUGCCGAAGGCACUUAUCAGUUUCUGAGUACACACCAUUGCAGGGUCAAACUUUACAAACAUCUUUUGUGUGAAUAGGUGGUAGUUAGCCAUUAACAGACCUGGGCGCUCCCAGAGCGUGAUACCCGAAGAGGGCCCAGGCUCGUACAGUCACGUUGGGGUAGGCUGUGGAGGGAGCUUUGCCAUUUUUGACAUCAGACAGACACACGCAACUAGCACAAGAUACUUGGUCAGCCCCAAAAACUGAAACCAAGGACGAUAUAGACUGUAGACCGGUGUAGGCGUGGCCUUUUGAGGGUUUGGCGCAGGGGUGCGCUCUGUAGGGCCCCAAUUCCCCAAUCCGAGUUAUCCCGUGUGGGGAGAUCGAACCGACAGAUGAUGUGAUUCAUCAAAAGGACAGCAGUUUGUGGCAUGUCGUUAGGUGCUGGUAGACAUUCAAACCAUUUGGUGAAUGCACAGGCCUCGGUCUAGAAGUAUUUGUUACCCCUGCUGGACUUGGCCAGGGGCCCCACCCAAUCAAAUUGUAAGUCAAACCACGGUGUGGACAUUCCCCUGCUCUGUAGAGGAGCUCUUGAAAUUGGCAGCAAACCAAACAGCUCUGGAUCUUGUCUGAGAUGUUGCGACGCAUCUCCGUCUAAUAAGCGACCUGGCUCAGGGCACCGAACGUGGUUUUGACACCUGCCAUCAACGUACACAGUCAGCAAAUCCACACAGAGAGCUUGGUCGAAGUAGUGGUUGUUGGGAUUCAGCAGAGUCUAGGGAGGGUUAACUUGUAGGACUGAUGCAGCAGCGUUGUCUGAGCAAUGCUGGCACGCAGCCAGACCCAUGCCAAGAGGACUACGGCGGUUUUGGGUGCAGUGCACCACACCAUCUCUGAUGUUUGUACGGUAUCAGUGAGGCGGCUUUGUCUAGGCUUCAGCUUGUUCAGAAUUCUGCAGCAAGGUUCUUGACUGGAGCCGAAAGAAGACACCACAUCUUACCUAUUCUUAAAACGCUUCACUGGUCGCCCGUUAAAUUCAGGAUCAAUUAUAAAAUUUUACUUCUCACACGUUCAAAUCCUUGAACGGUCAAGCGCCUCCCUAUCUGUGUGAUCUCCUUCAUUACUACCACCCUCCUCGUGCUCUUAGGUCUGAAGAUCAACUCCUCUUAACUGUCCCUAAGGCACGUUUGAAGACUCGUGGGGAAAGGGCUUUUUCAGUCUGUGCCUCAAAGUUAUGGAACUCAUUACCACUGCAGGUUAGGCAAGCUUCCUCUAUCGCCGUCUUUAAAUCUCGUCUGAAGACCCUCUACUUCACUUACGCAUUCGAUCCCUAAUUCCAUAACUCCUUAGCUCAUCCAUUGUCCCACCUAGUCAAUUCAAUUCUAAUUUUGUGUUUUUAUAUUCUGGUUUUAUUUGCUUUUACUGUUAAUAGUCUGUUGUUUUUAUUUCUUUUGCUUCUUUUUACAUUUUCCAUCUACCUGACUAUUUUAACUUGAGUUUUCUUGCUUGUUUUUUGUGCAGCACUUUGUAUGGUUGUAAUGCCGUGUUAAAAGCGCUAUAUAAAUAAAGUGGUAUGGUAUGGUAUGGUAUGGUAUGGUAUGGUAUGGUAUGGUAUGGUAUUGACUGUUCAGGAAGGUCACUGGCUGAUGUUGAGUUUCAAUGAUUAUUUUCUGUCCAUCGAUGUAGCUGGAGAAGGGUUUUACCACCCACAUCGUGGAAAGCAAAGCUUUUUCACAGUCCGAGUAUUUUAACUCAGGACCGGACAAGAUAUUACUAGCAUAGGUGACGGCACACCUGUCGCAGUCAUGCACCGCAUAGAGACUGGCAUUUAAGCAGUGGUCUGAAAACCCGACCUCAAGGUGGAACUCCCUGUCACUAUCAGGAAGUGCCAGGCACAGAGUUGAGCAUAACGUGGCCUUCAAGUCAUCCAUGGCCCGCUGCUGCUGCUCAGUCCACUCGAAAGGCACAUCCUUUUCCAGCAGGACAGUCAGAGGUCUCGCCAUCUCAGCGUAGUGUUCUACUAACUGGUGAGAGUAGUUGCACACAGCCAGAAAACUCCUAAGUUCAGAGACAUUUGUUGGAGCUUAGAUGGUGGCAACACCCUGGACUCUACUAUGUUGAGGCUGCACUCCCUGUGGUGCCUCAAGGAGGCCAACAAACUGUACCUUCGACCUGCACCACUGACCUGUGGUGAGGGAAGUUUUUGCACCUGCUGCUGCAAGCUGACCAAUGACGUGGUCCAGCUCGGACAGGUGGUUGUCCAAAGUACGUUUACGAAUCAGCAUAUCACCGACGUAGAUGAUGGUACCUCGCUCCCGAGCAUCAGGACAGGCUUUGACCAAGAAGAUGCUGAACUCAGAGGGUGAGUUGGAGUAUCCAAAAUGACACUGUGUGAAGGUGUACUGGCAGUUAGCAAAGGUGAAGGCUAAUUUAUAUUGGUCAGAUUUAUGGACAGGGAUUGUCCAUAAUCAAGAUGCAAUGUCAAGGGUGGUAAAGUAUUUAGCGUCUCUCACCUUCAGAACUUCUUGUUCCAGGCGGGCCAUCGGCCACCGAGACAAAGGAACUUGUUGGUUGAGUUUCCUGUAGUCAAUGGUUAGUUGCCACUUACCAUUAGGUCUCCUUAUUGUGUCAUUUUGGAUACUCCUUACCAGACAGAGUCAAGUGUAUAGUUUAUAAAAAUGAAUUUAUUUCUUUUCCCUAAACCAGGGGUCGGCAACCUGUUCCCAUCAAAGAGCCAUUAUUACCCAUUUCCCACAGUAAAGAAAACACUGGGAGCCACAGCAGCCGCGGCGUUGUGGGCAGGGCCUACCCUCAGACAGCAGAGAGCGGCUUUAACCAAUCACAACAGGUGAUAGCAGCCAGUACCGGUCGCUCGUGUACGUCAAAAUUAUCUUUCAUAAGACGAUAAUCAAUAAAACGAUUUAUAUAAAGUGGAUCCAGAAGUUGUAGCCCGUCUCUGCCUACAAUAUUUUGAUAUUUUUCACCCUGUUGGUGGUUUUACUGAGCAGGUGCCCCUUUUGUCAUACAUUUCUUUUUAAAACAUGUUUAGACUGUUCAGAAUACAAAUCCAGGCUCUGUCACGUUUGAUUGUUGUAAUUAAACUUUGUAGGUGGGGAAGGUCAGAAAAGGAUCCGAUCAAUUUGUUUUUCCCUCAUUUACAGUGACGGAGAUAACGGCGCAGUGCGCCUGGCUCUGGUGUUAAUCAAGUUUAAUUAUAUCUCUUUGCAACAAUUUUCACAAGAAAACAGAACAGUUAAAAGCAGGGCUUGUGUUGACCGGAUAGUUCCCGUAAUUGACCGUUUAUUUUGACGGAGAAAGAAUAGAAAGAAUUACCCCGACGCAUGCAGACGAACUGACAUUUUAUUCGUUUCGCACAUCACAGAUGUAGCUAAAUCACUCAAGAAAUGAUUCCCAUCUGAACAUCUAAUUUUAAUUUGCAUAUUAAAACGCUCCCACCUGCAUUCCACGCAAAUGCAAACUUAGGCAAGGCAAGGUAGCUUUAUUUGUAUAGCACCUUACAACAGUAUAAAACCCGACCAGUGUGCUUCACAGAAAUUAAAACGUUAAAGAUAACACACAACAUAAAAAUGCAUGAAAACUAAAGCUUAAGAACUAACACUAAAAAACACUAAACAGACUCUCAUGCUGAGUUACAAGCCAAAUCAUAUAUAUAGGCAGGGGCGGUUCUAAACCAAAUUUUCCAGGGGGGCCACAGUGGGGCCAGUAUUUUUUCAUCGAGGCGCAAGAAAAAAAAGGGAAAAAAUAGGGCAAUAUCUUCUUUUUUGUCUCCGCCAUAUGACUCAUUUUGUGCUUGUGCACAAUUUUACCAAAGGAAAUUCCUAGUACUGUGAAACUACUCUUUUUUUUUUGUUUUCUUCUUUUUCAUAUCUAUCUUUACUAUAUUUUGGGGAUCAAAUUUAUCAAAAAAUUUUCUUUACUUUUUUCAUCUAUGAUCUUAUACAGCUGUAUUUUACUAAAAUAAGAUUCAAAUAAAUUCAUAAGUAAAGACAAUGAACAAGUAAACCAUGACAGCGAAUGCAGUCAUGGUUUACUUGUGAAAGUAAAACUGGCAUGUUUUUAUGGUACUCAGAUAACAAUUCUGAAUGCUUCACCGCAACAUGAGACUUGAGUAAAAAAAUAAUUCUAGUUGAUUAUUAUAGUUUGUGACUUUAUUUGAAGAUUACAUGUACUGUACAUAUGAAAAAUAAACAUUCAAACAAAUUAAAUAUGUGCACAAUACAAUUUCAGACAAUUUUUGCCUUUCAGACUUUGCAUGUACCAAAAAAAACCCCUCCUCUCUCAGUUUCUUUUUUCCAGUUCCUAAAUCCACAUGGUGAGUCAAACACACUUCCUGCGCUACUUGGUGGGCUAAAAUGUCUGCAUACAUGACAAUAAGUAGAGUCCAUAGUAACAGAAUAUUCAACCCAAGGAUGACUUUCCUACCAGCUUGGCUGAAAGCUGCAUCUUCUGUCUCCUAUUAAUGUCCAUGGAAAUGUCCUCAAAUGAGGCUGAGUAGGUGGGUCAUCCUUGCACUUGCUGAUAUCUGAAAGAAAAUAAAUGUUAGCAUGAGGAUAAAAGUAAUAAUUAGUUAAUUCAGAGUCUUAUUUUAUCUAUUUAUUAAAUAUAAACAACAGAAAUUUUGGUCCAGAGUCAGCAUGCCUCAAAUGCAUUUUACACACAAUAUGAGCUGCAAUCACAGAGGGGUUGUUCAACACCCACAAACCUGACGGUAGUGUACACGGUGCACAUGACAGAAGAUGUCCCUCUUUUUGCUCCUCACUCUCUCCCUCACAGCCUACAUAUUCCUCCUCACUCUCAGGGUGGACAGCCUCUGACCUCUCUGGUUCCUCUCCAACCAUCUCCUCCUUCUCUCUUUCAUCCUGCUUCUCAGCUCCCUCGUGACUUUCAUCCUCUCUCUGUCUACGCUGUCUCAACGUGUCUUAAGGCUUAAAAUGCAGCAACUUCAUAUUUAUUUUACAGUUAAUGUUACAAAGGAAAAACAAAUCAGUAUUAACUGUGAAUAGACUCAGUUAGGAACUUAAAAGUAAAUGACAGAAACGCGCGACUACGAUCAAAACACUCAUGUCAGGAAAAUAAACUGUAUUGCUUACCUUCUUCUCUUAGCGUCUUUUCCGUUAGUCGUGCUCAAGAAUUUCUUCGGGUCUCAUUUAAACUAUUUUAAAUCUUUUAUUCAAAAAUCCACCUGGUAAACAGUUCUGUCCACAGAGUGUGCUGCGCUCUAAAGGCUCCGUGUGAAACGCUGCAGCGCAUUAGUUCCCGUCUCCGAGGCAGUGCGGGAAAAAAACUCCAAUCUCUUCAGCACAGGGGCUAUAACAGGGGCCAGGGCUGGUUCUACAGGGAGCCAGGCCCCCGUGGGCCUUUGUUUAAAACCGCCAAUGUAUAUAGGUUUUCAAAAGAGAUUUAAAACCAGACAGAGAAGAGGCCGACCUAACGCUCAAAGGCACAGCAUUCCAGAGCCUAGGGUCCGCUACAGAGAAAGCCCCGUCACCUCUGAGCUUAUGUCUUGUUUUUGGGACUUCCAAGAGCAUCCUAUCAGCCGACCUCAGAGAACGUACAGGGUAGUAAAAACCAGAAGCUCAGAGAGGUCAUCUGGAGUAAGGCCAUGCAAAGAUUUAGAAGCCCAUAAAAGCACCUUGUACUGGAUUCUAAAACGAAAAGGCAGCCAGUGCAGUGAGGCCAAGGCAGGAGUAACAUGCGCCAUCUUUUUCGUCCCAGUGAGCAACCGUGCAGCAGCAUUCUGCACCAACUCAAGACGCGAAAGGUGGGAUUGUGAAACACCAAGGUACAAAGAAUUACAGCAAUCAAACCUUGAUGUAAUAAAAGCAUGAAUUACUGUUUCAAAAUCCUUUUUUUGUGAUCCUUCUUAAUUGAUAAAAACUAGAUUUAGUCACCGCACAAGAAAAGUCCAAGACAAGAUCCCUUGGGGCCUUGGGGGUAAGCAUACAGAACAACACCUGGAGGGGAGGAUCUUUUCACUCAGCCUCACCUCAGAUGCCAGUGCCCGCUUCAAUGUUUAAGCUGCACCUAUAGAUACUGAGGGUUGAGGGGGAAUUUCUGAGGGAAAUUCUCUGCAGACUACGUCUGUGCCGACAACCUCCCCCAAAUGUAGAAUCUAACAGCACACAAAAAACCACAUUGGGACAGGCAGAGGGAGACUAGGGGUAUUCUCACACCUCUGUUCUCCGUUCGCUGCCCAGGGCUAGAGGCGAGGAGUGGGAGCUGGCCGUCUGGUUGGGUCUGGGGUGGUGGGCUGAUUUUCUCUGCUUUGCGCACUCUUGCCUGCUCAUCAUCACCCCAGUAAGAACGGGACCAUCUAGGGUUGAAUGUGUUUGUGCAAGCAUGAGGGUGAGAGUGAGUGACUGUAUGUAUGACUGUUUCUAUCAGGAAGGGUCUUAGACUCCUCCCCUCUCCUGGGACAUCUUGUGGUACUUCAACAUCUUGGCCUAUCCUCCCCCUGCCACAUUUUGUACAUGUUCUAUAAUGGAAACCUGAUGUUAAGAUAAACCCUUGUUCUACAACAUGCUACGAGUUCCUCCUUUACAGUGAUGAUACCACAGUUACUAACUGAUUUACUGUCCUAUCUGAAAGGUAUUAAAUGGACCCCAGACACCAAUGGUGUGGUUGCCUUUGACUGCAGGAACAGGAACUGGUACAUCCAGGCAGCCACAUCUCCCAAAGAUAUUAUCAUCAUGGUGGACAUUAGUGGCAGCAUGAAGGGGUUGAAGAUAACAAUCGCCAAGCACACCAUCAACACUAUCCUGGAUACACUGGGAGAAAACGAUUUUGUUAACGUCAUUGCUUACACAGACUAUGUCCGUUAUGUUGAGUCCUGCUUCAAAGGAACCCUGGUCCAGGCUGACUUGGACAAUAGAGAACACUUUAAACUUUUGGUUGAGGAUCUGCAUGUUAAAGGAGAAGCAAAAAUCAAGAACGCCUUAAAGGAGUCCUUCAAGAUCCUCAAUGAGGCAAGGGUGAAAGGUCAGGGCAGCAUGUGCAACCAGGCCAUCAUGCUAAUCACAGAUGGAGCCAUGGAGGACUUUGAAUCUGUCUUUGAGGAAUUCAACUGGCCUGAUCGCAGGGUGCGUGUUUUCACCUACUUGAUUGGCAGGGAGAUGACCUUUGCUCAAAACACGAAGUGGAUUGCCUGCAACAACAAAGGCUACUACACACACAUCUCUACACUGGCCGAUGUACAGGAGAACGUCAUGGAAUACCUGCAUGUGCUUAGCCGACCAAUGGUCAUCAACCAUGACCAUGACAUCAUCUGGACUGAAGCCUACAUGGAUACUGUGCUUCCCAAUACAAUCCAGCUCUUUAGUACCAAGGCUCAGAGUCUACUGCUGAUGACAUCAGUGGCCAUGCCAGUUUUCAGCAAGAAGAAGGAAACGCUUUCUCAUGGAAUUCUGCUUGGAGUGGUCGGUACGGACAUCCCACUCAUGGAGGUGAUGAAGCUGGCACCCAGAUACAUGUUGGGUCCACAUGGAUAUGCCUUUCUCAUCAACAAUAACGGCUAUAUUUUGGCUCAUCCUGACCUCCGACCUUUGUAUAAAGAUGGCAAGAAACUGAAGCCAAAACCAAACUACAACAGCGUGGAUCUGUCUGAAGUAGAGUGGGAGGACAAAGAUGUGCAGCUGAGGACGGCCAUGGUGAGAGGGGAGACCGGCAGCAUUACUCUGGACAUCAGAGCAUCUGUGGAUAAAGGGAAAAGACCCAUAUACCUGGUCAACAAUUACUUUUUCACAGACAUUGAUGAGACACCUUUCAGCUUCGGCAUGGUGCUGACCAAGGGUCAUGGAAGCCUCAUGUUUAUGGGAAAUGUAUCUGUAGAAGAAGGGCUGCAUGAUUUAACCUCUCCGGACCUCACCAUUGCCUCAGAAUGGACUUACUGUGUGACAGACAUUGACCCUGCUCAUCGAAAGUACACCCAGUUUCAGGCUGUCAUCCGCUACCUGCUGGGGAAAGAACCCGAUCUGGAGUGUGAUGAGAUGUUGCUACAGCAGAUGCUGUUUGAUGCUGUGGUGACAGCGCCGCUGGAGGCUUACUGGAAUGCCUUGAUGCUCAGUGACAGGUUGGAACCAGGAAUGGAGACGGCCUUCCUUGGGAUGCGUUCUGGCCUGAUGAGAACUAUGAGAUAUGCUGGAACAGAGACUAGAGUGGCAAAGACCUUCCUGACUCCUUCAGAUAAGGACAACCUCUUCACCAUUGACCACUUUCCUCUGUGGUACCGCCUGGCAGUGGAGAACACUCCUGGAAGAUUUCUCUACUACCCUGUUAAUGACAAAGGAAUAAAGUAUGUUGUUGCAACAACAGCAGUGACUGUAUCCUCAGGAGGAAAGACAGCCAUGGCUGGAGCUGUCGGCGUGCAGAUGUCCUUGGCUCUGCUGGAGAAAAGGUUCUGGGCCACUACCAAGCAGCCCAGUGACACAGACUGCUCAAACGUUGAAGGAGUUUGUCCUCUUAGCUGUGAAAGCUCUGACCUUAAUUGCUUCUUGGUGGACAACAAUGGCUUCAUCCUGUUGUCCAAAGAGAACAAUGAGGUCGGUCGUUUCUUCGGAGAAGUAGAUGGGUCUGUCAUGGCUGCACUGCUCAAGAUGGGCAUGUUCAAAAAAGUGUCACUUUUUGACUACCAGGCUAUGUGUAAAAACAGCCACCAUCAUGCCAGUGGUGCUCGGCCUUUGCUCAGUCCAUUUUACACCAUUAUUGCCUUGAUUAAAUGGUUCUUCUCUAAUGCACUGAUGUUUCUGCUGGACUUUAACUUUUGUGGUCUCUGGCACUCCGAUUAUUUUGUGGAUGCCAAAGCUGGGUAUCACACAUCUCAUAAGCAAAGGAAGGUGGAAGCUCUGCAGCCCUGCGACACCGCCUACCCUGGAUUCAUGUAUGAUGAAUCAGUCAGAGAGGCCAACAGCCUCAUCAAGUGUGGACGCUGCCAGAAGAUGUUUGUGGUGCAGCAGGUUCCUGACAGUAACCUGGUCCUGAUUGUGACACAAGCUGACUGUGACUGUUCUCGUCAAUUUGGACCCAUCUCACUUCAACCCAAGGAGAUCAAAUAUAUCCUUCAGUUGUUUAAACCAAAACACAGACGACUAAUCCCUCAGGAGGUUUCAGUUCAACAACCGUCAUUCUCAUUGUUGCAUGUAGACCAAAACGAAGGCGUCAUCCAGUUAGAGAGAAAAGGACACACACACACACACACACACACACACACACACACUAUAUUGUUAAAGGCCACUAUGUUCAUGUCUUCAAAUGACGUAUAGGUGCAUUAACUAUGUGACAGCGACAGCACAUCCGUUGUUAAUCAAACUUCAAUUCUUCUCCCCAGUGAACUGGGCACUGGCCCACCUGUUAGGUUUCCUUAAACCGGUUCCUUCCAGCAUGAGUUUGCCAACAAAUUCAAUAUUUCUUUGACAAAUUGAAACUAAAUGUAGUUUCCUUCCUGAAGCCUUUUGGGGUUAAAUCAAAUGUCUUCAUUUACUGUUAUUCUUAGCUCUGGAUCAUCUGAGUCAGCCCUGAACACCAGGGGUGGGCUGGCCAUCGGGAGGUGUGGGAGUUUUCCUGAGGGCCAGACUGCCAGAAGGUUUGGCCGUGGAUUUCAGUAGCAGUUUUAUAAAUGAGUCCCCAGCCCAAUACCAUCCUUCCAAUGAAGCAUGGUGGUAGCAGCAUCAUGCUGUGGGGAUGUUUUUCAGCACCAGCAACUGAGAGACUAGUCAGGAAACAAAGAUUAAAGCAGCUACUUCCUGGAUGGAAACCUGCUCCUGAGAACUCUUAACCUCAGACUGGGGCAACAGCAGGACGGCAACCCAAAACAAAGUCAAGAUAUCACAGGAGUGACUUCAGGACAUCUCAGUGUGAAUGUCCUUGAGCGUCCCAGCCAGAGCCCACACUUGAACCAGAUUGAACAUCCCUAGAGGUUUGAAUUACUGCCAAAGGAGCAGCGACAAAGCAUUGCGUUUUACCUUCUUCCUUAAUCUCUGUAAACAUAACGCCACUGUGAAGUGCAACAGAAUGAAGUCUCAGAAGGCGCGGCGGCGUCCUGAGUCAUGCCACUCCUACCACCCAAAGGAGAAUGCUAAGGAAUGUGGCGGGGCGUCGUCCAUCUCUUUGUCUCUGGCGUCUGCUUCUUUAGUCAUCUCAUUGGUUCUUCUCUCCUGGAUGUAAAUCAAGAAAACACUAUUAAACAAAAAAUGGUGUCGGAGUUGAAAGUGACAAGAGACACUGCAAACAAACAAAAUAAAUCUGCUGCUUGGGGGUUUCAGCCUUUAGUUCGGAGGCAACAGAACUGUUAGAACGUUCAUGUCACAACUUUCAUAAUGUUCAAACAAACCUAAUCUUUGAUGGAAGGUCCUUUUGGGCAUUUGUCCUUAUUUUAAUGGGAGUUUUUCACAUAUUAGUGAAUCUAACUGAUUCAGAGUUUUGCAGCAGGAAAAACAGCAUUGGUGUCUGGAGUAAAGCUGACUAGGAUUAAACCCAGAUGGGCACAAAAUAUCACCAUUAUAAUCGAAACAUGCUCGUUUUUAUUUUCUUAUUUAUUUAAAUUUUAAACCAGUCGAUUCAAUGGAAGACAGACAGACAGCAAAGGUAAUGGGAGCAAAAGCAGCAAAACAUAAGAGCAUAAAGCCUACAGGGUGAGGACACAUGGUCUGUGGGUCCUCCAAGAGGGAAGCCAAGGGACCCGGACCUGAAGCCUACAUGGAAGUGACCAAAAAUUGCAGUUCCACCCUCAUCCACUAGGGGCUGACCCCAGAAAGGAGCAAAUCCUCAUUGACUCCCAAGCCAGUUUCACAGCAGAAAUAAACAAGUUUACGGCCUGGUUCAGAAACCAUUCUAGGUUUAAUAGCUCUAGUUUACAUACAUGACAACUCUGAGGGGGUGAAUGUUUGUAACUGUUUCAUUUAGGUGUAAUUUACUCACUCACUGCCAGCCGUUUCCUGAUCACUAACGGCCUUCGCUGCCAGCGUUUCUCGCCGUUUUUACUGUUUUUUUAAGAGUCACAGAACGUUGCUCGCUAGGAUGAUGUCGACGCCAAAACAACCAAAACAAAGAGGAGACUCACCUCACCAGAAUGAUGAUGAAUAAUGAACGUGGGACACUCCUGCUGGCUGAAUGUACUCGCAAAUCAAUUUGGAACAAGAAGAUAUUUACCGUAAUUUCUGGACUGUAGAGCGCACCUCAAUAUAAGCCGCACCAACAAAAAAAAAAAGGUUUUCUACACACACACGCCGCACUCAAAUACAAGCCGCGGCGCAGCAGCCACAUGCAGGUCUCCGGCGCACAGCGCAUGUACGGCCAUAACAUAAGAUAAUUAGACAGAAAGACGCUACACGGAGGUUUUUCGUUGUUGUUUUAAAUCAACAAAAGAAUUUUAAACACGGGUGAACGUGCCUGCAAGUUUAGAAAAGAAAACAGCACUGAUAGCAUUCAUAUUUCUGGAUGGUUAUAAAAUAAAAACAGAACUGACACGUUAUUACCGGUAAUUUGCAUGUUUAGAAGAAAAGAACAGCGCUGACACAGCAUCAAUAAGCCCUGGAUGAUUAGAAAAUAAAAACUGCACACAAAACAUGCCUGGUUAGUAAAUAAAACACACCAGCCUACCAGAAGAAGUCAUCCGCUCUCAUCUUCCUCUUGCGCACUAAAGCCAUUAAAGUCCUCUUCUUCAGUGUCGGAGUUGAACAGCCUCAGAAGAGCUUCGUCACAUACCUUUUCUGUGGCGAUGUCAGUGUCGCUGUCCGUGUUGCUGUCAUCAUCCCCGAGUGAAGCUGGCUUGAAUGAGUUCUUCCCGUUGCCGUCUCCAGCACCGAACCAUGGACUCAUUCAUGCCAAGCUUACGUGCGGCAGCACUGUUUCCCUCCUUUACCGCCAGAUCGAUGGCCUUCAACUUAAAUGCGGCAUCAUAUGAACUCAUACGUGUAGUUACCAUGAUGAGGGGGUAUGGAUUUGAAAAAUAUUCUUCAUCGUACCGGCUGCCUGCAUGUGCUAAAUUAAAAUGAGCACUUUCUUCCAUUUCCACUUUUGACUUCCACCUGUUUCACUUUCUGCUAAAGCGCCCCCUGCAGGUGAAGGAAAAUCUUCAGUAAAGCCGCACCUCAUUAUAAGCCGCACGGUUCAAAGCGUGGGGAAAAAGUAGCGGCUUAAGGUUGGUUUAUGCUUGACGCGUCUGCGAGGUCCGCACGGCCCAAGAUUUCCGCAACGCGCACCUCGGAAAAUUUCUAACCACGCGGAAGGACGGACGCGGAAAAACAUGGCGGACCGGCAAGAACUAGUAUGGCAGUGAUCAACAUGUUAAUAAUUCUUGGAGAGAAAUAGCUCGCACUGUCGGAAAAGAUGAGGACGCUGUUAAAAAUGCUGGAAUGCCAUGUUGUAAACAACAGUCAUUUCUACUUCUACUAUGGUGUAGUGUUGGAUUCAUGCCGUAGAGCUCCAUGCUGCCCCGUUGAAUUUGGGAGAAUAUUGGCUCACCGCAGAGACGAGCCGCAUGAACCAUAAACGAUGCGAGUUGUGAAGCGCGUUCCAUCCGCGAGCCGCAUCACCAAGCGGAAAGUAAAUGCGUCAAGCAUAAACCAAGCUUUAUAGUCCGGAAAAUACGGUAAUAGAAGAAGCAUCUUGAACUUUCAGAGCGUUAGAAGUUACAUAAAAUUUUAAAUUCAGUUGUGGAUAUUACAGGGAGCCAUGGAAUGAUGCUAAAACUGGAGAAAUCUGGUCUCCUAACUCAUCAGAACUCAGGAUCAGAUGAAGGCCUCUCAGAGAUGAUGAUAGCGAAUUGCCGUUAUCAAGUCUAGAAGUAAGUGCAGCAAAUACAUGAACUAGCCUAUCUUCUCCACUUUUGGUCAGGAUGUUCCUAAUUUCAGCAAGGUGAUACAAUUGAAAGAUGGCGGCCCCAGUAACAUAUGAGAGAUCAAGGACAAGUUCACAGAGAAACCUAUUUUUUUAAUUGUGGAUUGGAAAGGCUACAGAGAGAUGAUCAGAAUAGAAAUCCCUUUACUGUCCCUCACUGGGGAACAUUUGGUGUCACAGCAGCAGUAACAUUCAAUACAGGAGCAGAAAGGAGAGUAAAAUAUAAGAAUAACAGAGUAAACAAGAAAAUAGAAUAUUCCAAAUACUCAGAUUAAUAAUUCAAAUGUGAUGUUUUUCAACACAUUUUAAUGAAUAAAUGACAUAAUACCAGUAAGUAACAAAUACCACUGAUGUGUGUUUUAUUUCAAAUGUACCUGCGUGUGUGUAAUUCUAGAUUCAGUGUUAAUGCAAAAGAAAGUUUGUUUACAAGUAAAAAGGUUCAACAUCACAUCUGUAGAUGUGCACAUAUGUCAUCCCUUUUUUUAAAAUAAAUAUUUUCAACAUCA